AGAGUUUGAUCAUGGCUCAGGAUGAACGCUAGCGGGAGGCCUAACACAUGCAAGCCGAGCGGUAGAUUACUUUCGGGUAAUUGAGAGCGGCGUACGGGUGCGGAACACGUGUGCAACCUGCCUUUAUCAGGGGGAUAGCCUUUCGAAAGGAAGAUUAAUACCCCAUAAUAUAUUAUUCGGCAUCGGGUGAUAUUGAAAACUACGGUGGAUAGAGAUGGGCACGCGCAAGAUUAGCUAGUUGGUGAGGUAACGGCUCACCAAGGCGACGAUCUUUAGGGGGCCUGAGAGGGUGAUCCCCCACACUGGUACUGAGACACGGACCAGACUCCUACGGGAGGCAGCAGUGAGGAAUAUUGGACAAUGGGUGGAAGCCUGAUCCAGCCAUCCCGCGUGCAGGAAGACGGCCCUAUGGGUUGUAAACUGCUUUUAUCUGGGGAUAAACCUACUUACGUGUAAGUAGCUGAAGGUACCAGAAGAAUAAGCACCGGCUAACUCCGUGCCAGCAGCCGCGGUAAUACGGAGGGUGCAAGCGUUAUCCGGAUUUAUUGGGUUUAAAGGGUCCGUAGGCGGACUGAUAAGUCAGUGGUGAAAUCCGACAGCUUAACUGUCGAACUGCCAUUGAUACUGUUAGUCUUGAGUAAGGUUGAAGUGGCUGGAAUAAGUAGUGUAGCGGUGAAAUGC
rnacentral:rRNA from 1 species